GUUGGAUUCAUCGAGGUGGUAUUAGAGAUAUUCAUUUGCAUUAUAAUAAAAGGUGAGGGAAAGUGGCUUCGAAACAUUGACUAUUACCGUUUAGAUGGUU
rnacentral:sRNA from 1 species